rnacentral:rRNA from 1 species
CCCGCGAACUCAUAACCACCCCGGGGAGGGGGACAGGGGGCGCACUCGUGCGCAACUUUCUCUCGCCCCGAAACCCGGAUGCUCCCCUGCCGUGCCGAACUUGUUCGGACGCAGCCAGGCUCGCCCUGCGGCAACAACAACGAACCCCGGCGCGGAAUGCGUCAAGGAAAUCAUAACGAACUCAGCACACCGCUGCCGACCCGUGCUGCAUCGGUGCUGCAAAUUUCGAUACUUAAACGACUCUCGACAACGGAUAUCUCGGCUCUCGCAUCGAUGAAGAACGUAGCGAAAUGCGAUACUUGGUGUGAAUUGCAGAAUCCCGUGAACCAUCGAGUUUUUGAACGCAAGUUGCGCCCGAAGCCACUCGGCCAAGGGCACGCCUGCCUGGGCGUCACGUACUGCGACGCCUCCAGAAGCCCUCUCCCGUCAGGCGGGAAGGUGCGGCGGAAGCGGAGAAUGGCCUCCCGUGCUUACGCACGGCUGGCCUAAAUGCUAGCCCGCGGGUAACGGUAGAGUAACGACAAGCGGUGGUCCAUACUUCGGCCCUUGUUGCGUCGUGCCCGCCCGGCCCCUCGGAGCUCAUCAUCCCCGGACGCGUCGUUCCGACGGCGUUUGCUUCGCGACC